GGCCCGGUGGGGGAAUGGCUACCCAGGGGGCGGGAACGUCCUCGCAUCCUGGUUCAACUCCAGGUCGGGCCUCCA
rnacentral:tRNA from 1 species